rnacentral:miRNA from 1 species
CCUCAAAUGUGGAGGCACUCUUCU